GGCACCGUAGUUCAAUGCCCGCCCGAACGACCAGGUCGGUUGCACCAUUCCGGCAAGCUUGCAGUCGGGCGGGGAUAGAAUAGAAGUUUCCUAAACUUUAGAUCUCAGUUCGAUUCUGAACGGAGCCA
rnacentral:tRNA from 1 species